GUGGCCUACGGGACGCAGCAGUCGGGAAUAUUGCACAAUGGAGGAAACUCUGAUGCAGUGACGCCGCGUGCAGGAAGAAGGUUUUCGGAUUGUAAACUGCUUUAGAUGGGGAAGAAAAAAGACUGUACCCAUAGAAUAAGCCCCGGCUAACUACGUGCCAGCAGCCGCGGUAAUACGUAGGGGGCAAGCGUUAUCCGGAUUUACUGGGUGUAAAGGGAGCGUAGACGGCAGUGCAAGUCUGGAGUGAAAGGCGGGGGCUCAACCCCCGAAC
rnacentral:rRNA from 1 species